GCAUUGAUGGGGUAGUGGUAACCUGGGUCGUUGCCAUUUCAAGUACUUGGUCAACUUCUCUCGACCCGCCGGGGGUUCGAUUCCCCCUUAAUGCA